rnacentral:rRNA from 1 species
AUUGAACGCUGGCGGCAGGCCUAACACAUGCAAGUCGAACGGUAACAGGAAGCAGCUUGCUUCUUUGCUGACGAGUGGCGGACGGGUGAGUAAUGUCUGGGAAACUGCCUGAUGGAGGGGGAUAACUACUGGAAACGGUAGCUAAUACCGCAUAACGUCGCAAGACCAAAGAGGGGGACCUUCGGGCCUCUUGCCAUCGGAUGUGCCCAGAUGGGAUUAGCUAGUAGGUGGGGUAACGGCUCACCUAGGCGACGAUCCCUAGCUGGUCUGAGAGGAUGACCAGCCACACUGGAACUGAGACACGGUCCAGACUCCUACGGGAGGCAGCAGUGGGGAAUAUUGCACAAUGGGCGCAAGCCUGAUGCAGCCAUGCCGCGUGUAUGAAGAAGGCCUUCGGGUUGUAAAGUACUUUCAGCGGGGAGGAAGGGAGUAAAGUUAAUACCUUUACUCAUUGACGUUACCCGCAGAAGAAGCACCGGCUAACUCCGUG